UACGUAGGGGGCUAGCGUUGUCCGGAAUCAUUGGGCGUAAAGCGCGCGUAGGCGGCCCGGUAAGUCCGCUGUGAAAGUCAAAGGCUCAACCUUUGAAUGUCAGCGGAUACUGCCGGGCUAGAGUCCGGAAGAGGAGAGUGGAAUUCCCGGUGUAGCGGUGAAAUGCGCAGAUAUCGGGAAGAACACCCGUGGCGAAGGCGGCUCUCUGGGCAGUAACUGACGCUGAGGAGCGAAAGCGUGGGGAGCGAACAGG
rnacentral:rRNA from 1 species